AGUUGGUAGGGUAAUAGCCUACCAAGGCAAUGAUCUGUAGCUGGUCUGAGAGGACGACCAGCCACACUGGAACUGAGAUACGGUCCAGACUCCUACGGGAGGCAGCAGUGGGGAAUAUUGGACAAUGGGCGAAAGCCUGAUCCAGCAAUGCCGCGUGUGUGAUGAAGGCCUGCGGGUUGUAAAGCACUUUUGAUGGGAAAGAAAUCUUUUGGGCUAAUACCUCAGAAGGAUGACGUUACCCAUAGAAUAAGCACCGGCUAACGCUGUGCCAGCAGCCGCGGUAAUACAGAGGGUGCAAGCGUUAAUCGAAAUUAUUGGGCGUAAAGGGUGCGUAGACGGAUUAAUAAGUUAAUUGUGAAAUCCCUGGGCUUAACCUAGGAACUGCAAUUAAUACUGUUAGUCUAGAGUAUGAUAGAGGAAAAUGGAAUUCUCGGUGUAGCGGUAAAAUGCGUAGAUAUCGAGAGGAACACCAGAAGCGAAGGCGAUUUUCUGGGUCAAUACUGACGUUGAGGCACGAAAGCGUGAGGAUCAAACAGGAUUAGAUACCCUGGUAGUCCACGCUGUAAACGAUGAGAACUGGAUGUUGCUAAAUGUAUAAUUUAGCGGCGUUGUAGCUAACGCGUUAAGUUCUCCGCCUGAGUAGUACGAUCGCAAGAUUAAAACUCAAAGGAAUUGACGGGGGCCCGCACAAGCGGUGGAACAUGUGGUUUAAUUCGAUGCGACCCGAAGAACCUUACCUGCUCUUGACAUCCUAGGAAUCUCUUGGAAAUAAGGGAGUGCCUUCGGGAACCUAGAGACAGGUGCUGCAUGGCUGUCG
rnacentral:rRNA from 1 species